GUAGCUGUUGAAGAUGAUUUUGAUGUAUGUAAAAUUAAGCAUAUUAAUCUAAGAAUCUCUCUCCACAUUCGUAGGAUGUAAUCCCUGUUCAUUACUACUUAAUACCUCCACCAACAAAGACUAAGAAUGGCAGCAAAGAUAAGGAAAAAGAUUCAGAAAAAGAGAAAGAUUUAAAAGAAGAGUUUACUGAAGCAUUGCGAGAUCUUAAAAUUCAGUGGAUGACAAAGCUGGAUUCUAGUGACAUUUAUAACGAAUUGAAAGAAACAUAUCCUAAUUAUCUUCCUCUGUACGUUGCACGACUUCAUCAAUUGGAUGCUGAAAAGGAACGAAUGAAAAGACUUAAUGAAAUUGUUGAUGCGGCAAAUGCUGUUAUUUCUCAUAUAGAUCAAACAGCCCUAGCAGUUUAUAUUGCAAUGAAGACUGAUCCCAGGCCUGAUGCAGCUACUAUAAAAAAGUACCUAACCAGUUGCCUUCUGAUUUCUGCAUCAUUCCAGCCCUUCUCUGGGCAGCCAGGAUCCAUCAGGCAGCAUUUGCCGAGUCUGCCCUGCAGACUCUGGCCGAGCGACGGAUGAAAGGAGUGCUCAGACACAGUGACAUGGACAAACAAAAAUCCACCCUCGUAGAUGCCCUUUGUAGGAAAGGUUGUGCCCUGGCAGACCAUCUUCUUCACACCCAGGCUCAAGAUGGAGCCAUUUCCACGGAUGCAGAAGGAAAGGAGGA
rnacentral:sRNA from 1 species